CAGAGUUGUGGAGAAAUUAUUUCACAUGUUUACAAUGAUCACUGAGGGUUAAGAGUAUAACACAAAACAGAAACAUUCAAGAUUCAAAGAAACUACGACCACAUUCUGCAGGAAUCUCGCAUACGUUGAUCUAGAAGUGACUUCAUAGAAAUAAGUUAUAUUAUAAUACAUACAAGGACCAAAUUAAUUCUGAAUAAUAACUUUUUCUGAUCAACAUACAGAAUGCUAACGCAGUUUAGAAGGAUCACUGAGAAUAGGAGAGGC
rnacentral:lncRNA from 1 species